CAAGGAGCCAAAUGGUCUUGCUCAUUGGGUCCCACUCCUACAGAACCCCACAAGCGAAGACCCACUGGCUUGAAAUCCCCACUGCCAGCACAGCCAUCUGGAGUCUGCCUACGACAACCAAGUUCCUGGGGGGAGGAGUGACGACCAUUAUUUUGGCUCUAGUUGGCGGUUUUCCCCUCCCAGUGUUAAGGAUACUGGGAGGUUUGAACUGAGCAGUAUUCCCCACAGUGCAGCAAAGCAGCUGUGGCAGAUCGUGGCCAGAUUGCUUCCUUAGGUGGGAGCCGGAUCCAUCCCUCCUCACUGGACAGGGCCUCCCUGCAGCAAUUUCAGCAGCUCCGAUCAGGGGCUUACAGACAGAACUCUCAUGUCCCUGGGACAGAGCACCUGGGGGAGGAGCGGCAGCAGUCUCAGGUUCAGCAGACUUAAUCUUUCCGGCUUGCUGGCUCUGAAGAGACCCACUGAUCCAGACGAGGGGGAUCCCCUCCCCCGCACAAAACACCAGCUCCACUAAGGGAGAGUCAGACUGCUUCCUUAAGUGGUUCCCUGAUCCCAUGUCUCCUAACUAGGUGAGACUUCCCAACAGGGGUCGCCAGACACCUCAUACAGGAGAUUUCUGGCUGGCAUCAGGUUGGUGCCCCUCUGGGACGAAGCUUCCGGAGGAAGGAGCAUGCAGCAAUCUUUGCUGUUCUG
rnacentral:lncRNA from 1 species